rnacentral:rRNA from 1 species
GACGAACGCUGGCGGCGUGCCUAAUACAUGCAAGUAGAACGCUGAAGGAGGAGCUUGCUUCUCUGGAUGAGUUGCGAACGGGUGAGUAACGCGUAGGUAACCUGCCUGGUAGCGGGGGAUAACUAUUGGAAACGAUAGCUAAUACCGCAUAAGAUUGACUAUUGCAUGAUAGUCAGUUAAAAGUUGCAAUUGCAUCACUACCAGAUGGCCCUGCGUUGUAUUAGCUAGUUGGUGGGGUAACGGCUCACCAAGGCGACGAUACAUAGCCGACCUGAGAGGGUGAUCGGCCACACUGGGACUGAGACACGGCCCAGACUCCUACGGGAGGCAGCAGUAGGGAAUCUUCGGCAAUGGACGGAAGUCUGACCGAGCAACGCCGCGUGAGUGAAGAAGGUUUUCGGAUCGUAAAGCUCUGUUGUAAGAGAAGAACGAGUGUGAGAGUGGAAAGUUCACACUGUGACGGUAUCUUACCAGAAAGGGACGGCUAACUACGU